rnacentral:lncRNA from 1 species
UGACUUGGUUGUAAUUAUUUUUUUUUUUAUUUUUUUUUUAUUGCGUUUUGUUUUAUUUUUCUGUAAAAGUGCUUUUAGGGUGUGUUUCUUAUGUAUGCAGGAAACAAUACAUACUAGAAGUAGGAAAAACCAACAACCUCUGUUAGAAGGUUUACCAGACGAAAGGAGAAAGAGACAUCCUUCAUGUGAGAGAUCUCUUUCUCCAGAAGCUACUUCACAGUCUUCGUUUGAGACUUUUGCACCAGAUCUUGAGGAGAUGGCCAGCCAACCUCCUCCUAGACGCACUUUUGGGGAUGCAGCUAAUACGGUUGGCCCCUU